rnacentral:rRNA from 1 species
AACGAACGCUGGCGGCAUGCCUAACACAUGCAAGUCGAACGAGACCUUCGGGUCUAGUGGCGCACGGGUGCGUAACGCGUGGGAACCUGCCCUUAGGUUCGGAAUAACUCCCCGAAAGGGGUGCUAAUACCGGAUAAUGUCUUCGGACCAAAGAUUUAUCGCCUUUGGAUGGGCCCGCGGUGGAUUAGCUAGUUGGUAGGGUAAAAGCCUACCAAGGCGACGAUCCAUAGCUGGUCUGAGAGGAUGAUCAGCCACACUGGGACUGGGACACGGCCCAGACUCCUACGGGAGGCAGCAGUGGGGAAUAUUGGACAAUGGGCGAAAGCCUGAUCCAGCAAUGCCGCGUGAGUGAUGAAGGCCUUAGGGUUGUAAAGCUCUUUUACACGGGAUGAUAAUGACAGUACCGGGACAAUAAGCUCCGGCUAACUCCGUG